GAUGAAGAACGUAGCGAAAUGCGAUACUUGGUGUGAAUUGCAGAAUCCUGUGAACCAUCGAGUCUUUGAACGCAAGUUGCGCCCGAAGCCAUUAGGCCGAGGGCACGCCUGCCUGGGCGUCACACGUCGUUGCCCCCCCAUCUACUCCUUCGGGAUUGCGGGGGGCGGAUGAUGGCCUCCCGUGCGCCUCGCCGCGCGGUUGGCAUAAAUGCCAAGUCCUCGGCGACGCACGCCACGACAAUCGGUGGUUGCGAAACCUCGGUUGCCCGUCGUGUGCGGUCGUCGCGCAUCGAGGGCUCGAAAAAAUUGCCGGGUUCCGGCUCGGCUUUCAACGCGACCCCAGGUCAGGCGGGGUUACCCGCUGAAUUUAAGCAUAUCAAUAAGCGGAGGA
rnacentral:misc_RNA from 1 species